CGUAACUCUCCCUGCCAUAGACACAGAACUAGGAGGAACGGGAAAUUUCAAAGGAUAUACCUUUGAAUUAACCUUAUGGGAGCGUUUGACCUCUUGCACGUUGGCUAACUACCAUGAAAAGAGCGAGCCCCAAGCAACCACUGGUGUCAGAACAAGAGACCUCAACCCGACCUGCCACUUGGAGGAGAGCCGCCUCAGCCAGCUCACACACCGGAAAUAAGGGAAGACUGAAGCCAAAGAGAACUAGCGUGUACUAUGUGGCCACCCCCCUCCAGGAACCUUCUUAGAAGAUGUUCAUAAACGAUACAGCUUCAAGUGCAGGACCUGCCCCUCGGCACAGCCCACGUUCACUCUCGGUCAGAUGCAGUCCCUUCACCAACUUCUCAAUAGUUGCCCCUUUGGGCUGUGCUCGCCGCCGUUUGUGUCUGUCCUUCCUUGUUCUGAACCUCAGCACCGUUCCCUGUCGCAGGCUGAUUGCAGGUGAUGAUUCUCUUCCUCUCAGCCAAUAGGACUCCGAUAUCUCUAAGAUGCUUCAAAACACAAAAAGUUUAUCUUCAGGAGUGGGGGUAAGACAAUUUUCAUGCCUCAGGGCCAUGUACUUACUCCUCCAUAAACGAAAAGAGAACUACCUGGAACUUUU
rnacentral:lncRNA from 1 species